rnacentral:rRNA from 1 species
UACGUAGGGUGCGAGCGUUGUCCGGAAUUAUUGGGCGUAAAAGAGCUUGUAGGCGGUUUGUCGCGUCUGCUGUGAAAUUUCGGGGCUCAACCCCGAACUGCAGUGGGUACGGGCAGACUAGAGUGUGGUAGGGGGAGACUGGAAUUCCUGGUGUAGCGGUGGAAUGCGCAGAUAUCAGGAGGAACACCGAUGGCGAAGGCAGCUCGCUGGGACGGUACUGACGCUGAGGCGCGAAAGCGUGGGGAGCAAACAGG